GAACCCAUGGUGCAGUGCGUUAGCGCGUUUGAUUUCUAAUCAACAGUUCGAGCCUCGGGUGGUGCAUCACCUGGGUUUG
rnacentral:tRNA from 1 species